CCGAGUCCCGAGCGGCCGGCGGCCGGGGCUCCCCGCCCCUCCCUCCUCUCCGGCGGCGGCGGCGGCGGCGGGCGGAGUGAGCUGCGGAGCCUGGAAUAUGGUCGGGGAAAUGGAAACGAAGGAGAAGCCGAAGCCCACCCCAGAUUACCUGAUGCAGCUGAUGAACGAUAAGAAGCUCAUGAGCAGCCUGCCCAACUUCUGCGGGAUCUUCAACCACCUCGAGCGGCUGCUGGACGAAGAAAUUAGCAGAGUACGGAAAGACAUGUACAAUGACACAUUAAAUGGCAGUACAGAGAAAAGGAGUGCAGAAUUGCCUGAUGCUGUGGGACCUAUUGUUCAGUUACAAGAGAAACUUUAUGUGCCUGUAAAAGAAUACCCAGAUUUUAAUUUUGUUGGGAGAAUCCUUGGACCUAGAGGACUUACUGCUAAACAGCUUGAAGCAGAAACAGGAUGUAAAAUAAUGGUCCGAGGCAAAGGCUCAAUGAGGGAUAAAAAGAAGGAGGAGCAAAAUCGAGGCAAGCCUAAUUGGGAGCAUCUCAAUGAAGAUUUACAUGUACUGAUCACUGUGGAAGACGCUCAAAACAGAGCAGAGAUCAAACUGAAGAGAGCCGUUGAGGAAGUGAAGAAAUUACUGGUACCUGCAGCAGAGGGAGAAGACAGCCUGAAGAAGAUGCAGUUGAUGGAGCUUGCAAUUCUCAACGGCACCUACAGAGAUGCCAACAUUAAAUCACCAGCCCUUGCCUUUUCUCUUGCAGCAACAGCCCAGGCUGCUCCAAGGAUUAUUACUGGGCCUGCGCCCGUUCUCCCACCAGCUGCCCUGCGCACUCCGACGCCAGCUGGCCCUACCAUAAUGCCUUUGAUCAGACAGAUACAGACCGCUGUCAUGCCAAACGGAACUCCUCACCCAACUGCUGCAAUAGUUCCUCCAGGGCCCGAAGCUGGUUUAAUCUACACACCCUAUGAAUACCCCUACACGUUGGCACCAGCUACAUCAAUCCUUGAGUACCCUAUUGAACCUAGCGGUGUAUUAGGUAUGGCUUUCCCAACGAAAGGCUAAGAAUUCAAGAACGGUCUUAACUGAACCCUCAUCAGAUCUGAAUUUAACAAAUGCUUAGUCUCAGCAGCCUCCAGGGGGUUGGGGGGAAGCCUAGCCUAGCAGUCAGUGACUUACUUGCACUUUUUGCACACUGAUAGAAAGUAAAAGUAUGUUAUUAAUUGGUUUAGUCUGUAUUCUUACAAAGUAAUGGUAAUUUAUAAAGGAGUGUAUAGUAGUAUACUGACUGCUAAGUGUACUAUACUGUUUGCUUUACUAAUCACCUAAUUCAUUGCAGUUCAUACUUAUUGACUCAAAGUUUAGAACCACAAUCUGUAGGCUUUAAGAAUUGCUUUUAAACCUUUUUAAGUGAUAAACUCUGGAAGUGGUCUUAAGGUUAGCAAAUAAUUGUCAGUAUUAAAACAUGGCAUUAUUUAAGUAGUCCUCCUACAAGAAAGGCACUUCAGUGAAUAUGUGACUAGUAAAGCUUAACUAUGUUUGGAUCUAAUAGAGUUCAUGAAAUCUGUAAUUUGGGAUUGUAAAUGAAUGGAUAAAAUAGGUUAAGGCCAAGAUGUUUGAAAUGAAUGCAAUAUUAGUAGAUGCAUAUAUACGCAACAUUAUGGUUAAUUUUAAAACUACUGUGCCUUAACAUAUUUCCUAGAACAAAACUUUUGUAGUAAAUGAACAUUUGAAAUCCAUUUUGAUAAACCUGCUGUUAAUGUUUUUCUUUUCCCUUGUGAAUGUUUUCUAACUUUGUCUUGGUAAUUGCAAUUUAACUAGGUGCGGUGGCUACUAAAGUUCGAAGGCACGAUAUGCGUGUCCAUCCUUACCAAAGGAUUGUGACCGCAGACCGAGCCGCCACCGGCAACUAACCUAUGACCUUCUGACCUCUGAACUCUUCACCCAAUGAUGACCUGACCAUGCCUGCCUGCUGAUCAGUUAACUGGUAAUCGCCUUUGCUUGCCUGUCGUCAGUGCAGCGAGCUGAGGCACUUGUCCGUUCGUCUUACCAUCUAACCAAACAAAAGACAAAGAAAUUGUUGUCCUCCAACUCAGCUUUUGUUUUGGGGGGGUUUUUUUUGUGUUGUGUUUUUUUUUCCUGUUUGGGUGAAAAUGGUUCUAGAACCUGCACUGAACAGUAGUAAAGCAAUAAGGCCCAACUCAUCCCACAGCACUGAUCAUCUGUCAGUGUCCCGCCCCAAGCGAAUGGUAAGAAGGCCCCACUCAGAAGGGGAGACCGAUGGCCCUAACUGCUCAGUGACAGAGGCGGUCACUGGGAGAGACUGCUAGGAAUCUUCCUCCUCAUAGCGAGUCAGGCGCUCUGAAUGUACUGUGUGAUGAUGCGUCAUGCAUGAACCUUUGGUCAGGGAUGUCAUUGGUGAAGCGAUUUCAAAAAGUAUUCAAAAUUUGAUAUGCUGUCAGUCACUACAGCGCCCUCAGAGGGCAGACGCCGCAGCCUUCUUUAUGUCGCCUGCCAAAACUCGAAGUGUUAGAAGUGUGCCGUGAGAGAGAAACUUAACGAGGAAUUUUGAAAAGUAAUUCAAAGAACAAAACUGCAACACUAUUUUUAAAAAGAUAAAUAUCUGAGUUAAAAUUACUGAACCUUUAUUUUACACCUCCUUAAAAAUAUGCGAGAACAAGGUACAUGCAUUAUGUGUCACAUUACUGGGCAAACUGUUCAAAUAUUUUUUUUAAACUUCCCUGUAUAGAAAAAAAAUCAUUAAGGAUGUAAAAGCCAUGCUUGCCUAUUUGCUGUAUACAUGUAAUGAAAUUGUAGAUAAAGUGUAGUGCAUUGAAACAAAUGAACAAAAAGUAGAUACUUUUACUAUACAAGGGUGCUGGUGCAGAAAAAAUAUAUAUAUUUUUGGAAAUGUAGCAUUUUAUACUUUCAAGUGUUAUAAAAAAAAAAGAAAAAGAACAAAGAAACCCUUUAUUUCAUUAAAUGAUUUUUUCUGGUGGUUGUCAAGAAACAAAAGACCAAAAGAGCCUUUUUGUCUUUCUUUUUUAUUUUUUAAGUAUUGGAAUAAGUCUAAAGAAAAGAAAGUGCCUUAUUUUCCUUCAUGGUCAUUUAGUCAAGUGUCUCGUAAGAUCAGCUCCUCCCUCAGAAUACAAGUUAAUGCAUGUUCCUCAGUCGCCCAGUAUGUGAAAGAAGAUAUGAGGGGAGACAAAUGAGUUGAUGGUUUGACUUAUAUGAUUUUUGCCACGUUACCUUGAUAUAAAUUUGCCAAAUCUGAUACUGUGAAAAAAUUUGAUAACUUUUCUAAUGCCUAACACAUAAGUUGUAAAACAUCAUUCUUUUAAAAGCAUAGGUGAGUGCUUUUGGUUAUUGCAAUAUUUAAUGUUAGCCCAAAGGAUUCUGAAAUAAAAAUUAUGUGUAAUUUGAACAUCAGUUUUCAGGCAAAAUUAGAGAUUUAUUUCAUUCAGGGCGGGGUGGGGGCGGGUGUUGGAUUUUUUUCUUGUUAAUUGGAGGUAACAGUAUACUUAGCAAUCUUUUUCACAAAAUUGAAGCUUUGUGACCUUUGUUCUGGGAAACAAUGUUUUUAAAUGACCCAGAUUUAAUCAGACUUGUUUCUGCCCUUCCAGAUCACUUGGAUAGUCCAUCUCUUUGCUGGUUUUAGUAACGUAAGCUACCCUGCCCACCACCCCAACAUACAUCCUCCUUUUUUUUUUUUUUUUUUUGGUAACUUUAAAAGGUUGUGAAAAACUAGCAUCGUUGUGCAUAUAAAUGCUCAACUACAUGUGACUUUAAACUUCCAGUUUCUCAUGAAGUUCAAUUAGUUUUGUAGUUGAAGCGAUUUGUGCACAAAGCCUACAUCCAAACUGUUAGGUAAUCAUUAGCUGCUCGGUACCAGAUGUGGCAAAUACCAGGUGGCAGUGGGUCCCCAGCUCAUCAACUCCUUCCCUCUUGCAAACCUUCACAGCUUCACAGCUUCAAAGGUCAGCAGUAAGCUCAGUAAGCACCUUCGUGGUGACCUCCUCCUCCAUCUUGUCUCACUUGGAAACCAUUUUCAGUUUAUUUACUAUGCAAUAGACAUUCGUUUUGUAUUCAGCUAGCUUUGGUUUAAUGUGCCACUGCUUUGUCUUUCCGUUACACAUACAGUUGUUUUGAUUUAUUUACAAUAUAUGCUGUGCCAUUUUGAUUUUUAUUUUGUUUGGUUGGUUGAAUAAAUUUGCGACACUCGAACGCUUGAGGUGAUAGUUUAAAAACGAUACCAGUAUUUGAUCCAGUUUCAUCUCAACUAUGUUAUACCUGGACAUUUUAGAUGUUUAUCAAAGGUCUUUUACGGGGAAGAAAGUAAAUGUAUGAAAUAAAUGUGUGACGUUUAUGAGUAAUGUUGGCUAUGAACAAACUUUUGAAAACUUAGUUGACAAAAUUUUGGAUCAACUAAAAAAAGCAUGACUUUUGGAAUCUCUGAAUGCCUUGGUUCUCAGUAUUAUCAUUCUUUAUUGAAUUUAUUUCUUAUUAAAAUAUGUAGUUUUUAAGACUUUUUUUCUGACAGUAUUAUGUAAUUUUUUAGCGCGGUAGAUGGGAGUGUCGCUUGUAUGUUACCGUACAGCUGACAUGUAUUUUUGUCUAUUCUUUAUUAUCUUAGUAGUUUCAUGCUAUGUAUGUACCAUAACCAACCUAUUGCCUAUGAGAAACAUGUAAGAUAAUGUAUUUACAGCCAUUGUUACAAGUUUAUAAUGUAUUUUUCUAUCUUGUUUUAUAUGUAUGUUAUAUAACAUUCAAAAAGAAUUUUUUUCUUGAUUGAGAAAAAGGAUACAAAAUGCAAAAUCCACAAUUUUGAUAACUGAAAAUUGCCAAUUGUUUUGCAGUACUUUAUUAUAUUGGGUGUCUUGUCUUUCUUGGGCUUUUAGUUAGCUAAUGAAUGAAUACAUUAGACACUUUUGGGUUUUAGUUGGGAUUUUACAUAGCUUGCAUUUUAAUUCUUUGGUUCUUUGCUGUUUCUAUUAACCCAUAGCAUUAUUUUAAUAAAUGUUAUAAUACCAACCUACUAACUCUGGACUAUGUCUGUUUAUUAACCUUUACGUGUUUAAUUAAAUAAACAAAUAAAGACAAAAGAAUGUAAAGUCUUGAAUUACUGGACUAACCCUGAAGAACGUGACCACAGAUAACAUAGCGUGACUUGUUUUUAUGUUGUUUGUCAGCUGACAAUUCCGCACACUACUGUUAAAAUGGCUUUGGUCAUUCUGGCCUUUUACCUAUGGGGAGUAGGUGCCAGUCGAGAUGGGAACAAAGUAGCAAUGGUUGGAGGCAGUCUUCUUCUAGUCUUGCCACUUGCCUUUCAACCUCUGCAUUACUAAUUCCACACUUUCUUAUUUUUCCUUCUCCAAAUUAAUCACUGUCUACUCACAGCAUAAAGAGUAAAGAGAUUUGUGGAAAUGAUAUUAUCCGAGAAACCAGUUUGAUUCUUUGUUGAACCAUUCUUUGAAAUUCCUAUAAAUGGAUACUUUUGUCACAUUAUAAAGCAAAGAAUCUGAUGAUGUUUUAUCUUUAUUCAGAUCUGUGUUUUAAUUGGACAUUUUUCCUUCAUAAAGUUUUGAACUGUUCUAGCCAGCUGCUCCUGUUGAUGGGCGCUGAACACAGGUAAAGCUGAAGGUUGAGCGGCACCGGGUCUCAGGACAGUCCAGGGCAAGCGGUUGGUAACAGCGCACCCAUCCCGCGUAGCCCUCAGCAGGCGCUCAGCUGCGUUGACUGAGCUGCCUUCUCUCUCCCCUGCUCCCAGAUACAGUCAGAAUAUAGCAGUAACCCGAGUUUAAGGGAGAAGAAUGCUGGCGUUUGGAAAGUUUUACAUUACUGUUUGCAUGCAAGUCAAUUUAGGAAGAUUUAUUAAAUAUCUUCCUGCUUAUCUUGGCUGCACCCUACGUCACUUGAUCUCUACUUAUCAGUUCUCUAGGAGUGCAUUUUUAUUUCACAGACACUGGUAAUUUCCUUUUCUGUGAAACAGUUCUGGAUAGUAAAAAAAAAAAUUCUCAGGAUGAGUUUUUGCAUUUGUAAAUAAUGCCUUAUUUUUGUAAAUUACAUUUUAUUUAUUUUAAAGUUCUAAAAUUUGGGGCUGAUUUGAGUUGUAUGUUGUAGAAGAUAUAACUUUACCAAUAUGCUAUUAACUAUACCAAUAUGCUAUUAACCAAUCAGACUGUCAAAGUAUUCCCAUAGUAUAAUAUACAUACAUAUAUGAAGUACGUAGAAUAGUGACAGCAUCUGAUUUAAUCAUAACUGAGACAGUCCUUUGGAUUGAACAAAUAUAUUUUCUCUGAUGUGGGGAGGGGGGCAUGUAUUAUCGUUCGGUAGACAGAGCUUUAAUAUGCUACUCUCUGUAAAAGUUCUUGUUGCCAUACAGUUCAUAUAUACUAUUCUGUAAAAUUGUGAGGAUGUCUUUUGAGCUGCAAAUACACAAGUCAUCAUGGUACCAUGUCACUGAAGCUGAUAAAGAAUUUCUAUGCAAUUUACUCCACAUUUUCUGAAGUCUAUGAAUGCAGUCUCAUCUCAUUUUCAGUCAAGGGUACUUUUAUGUAUAAAUAUGUAGUCUUGCCACCUCUUAUGUUAGAAGAGUACAGUUUAAAAAGCUCAAAAUAACAUUACAAAUCCCAUUUUUAUAAAGGUUGUAGUAGUACUAAACACAAAAUCACCAGCUGCUUAGAAUGAUUUUAAAGUGCCAGAAUCAUUUUUAUUGUUUUAUACUAGUAUUUGACAAAGCAAUUGAAAGUUAAGCCUUUGAGAAAUUACUGAAGUUAACGUGCUUAGUAAUCAGGCAUUUUUUGGGGGGGCAAAAUGUCUGGAAAAAUGUAACAUGAAAGUCAAUAUACAACACGUGCCCAAGUACUUUCUCCAUGUGUGGCAGAGCCCACUUACAGGGACAGUUGGCAGCGCCCUGCCUAUAAAGCCAAGAUGGGCAUAUCUUUAUACAAAAUAAGUAGGUGGUUAAUGUUUUCUAAAUAAAUACUAGAUAAAUACAAAGGAUCUUCAAUUUUCUAGUACACCAAAAGCAGACAGUACGUUUAAAUUAAAUUGCUUAUUACCAAAUCUUGAAACUUCUUUACCAACUAAGUCUAAAUAACUCUUUUACAUACAACAGUCUAAGUUGUCUCCAGUUUGUGGGGGAAGGGGUUUUUUGCGUGUUUGGGAUGUCUCAUUCCUUAACACGUUGAUCACCACGUCACCCUAAUCUGGGUGACAGUUGUGUUUCCUCAGGGGCACCCGAUCCACAGCGGGCGAUCAGUGUGUUAAUAACAAUUAGCUAUUGUAAUAGUCCCAGCAAGUGCUUUGUAGUAGAAUGAAAUGUAUUGCUAAAUCAUAAUCCAUUAUUUAAUAACAAAAAUCACUCAAAACUUCUUGGACAAACUUUCUAAGUACGUAGGUAAUUUUUAAACAUUGUUACAAAUUCCUUAAUACUUUUAUUUAAAGUGGAAAAAGUAUUUUAUAGACAAUUUUACUUUUAGAAAUGUUCAUAUGGCACACACAUGAUUUUAUCUGUGGGUUCUUUAAUAUAAAAUUACCUAAAUUGAAAUGCCUUUGCUAUGAAGAGACUUAACAAAAUGAUAUUCAUACCUGGUACUCAAUGCUGAAUCAAACUGGUUCACCUCAGCAUAGUACUCCUUUCUGUGUUUCUGCUGCACUAAUGCAGGGGGUGGGAGAGAUGGAAGAAUUAAUUCACCGUGGAAGUGGAUGGUAGGUGCAGCAAGUGGCGACACAGUGUUGAUCUCAACACAAUGUUGAUUUCUCAUCGCUUACGAUUUUACUGUCCCUUCUUGGCAAAAGACACCACACUGGAAAAAGCACAGCUCCCAGGGUGAAAAACAAAUUUGUAUCUUAAAAAAUACUAUUAUUGAGAAGUUUUGAUUACCAAAUACAUCUUUUAUGGUUUAUAUUGUAGUGGUGUGUAUAAAACGUUUAGAAUUUUACUUGUGGACAUUGUAUAUACAGAGAAGAGUUGGAAUAGGUCUGCCCAAAUCUUAUGUGAAUGGAGAACCACAUAUGACUGUACAUGAAGUGCAAUAAACCAGCUGGAAAAAGUG